rnacentral:rRNA from 1 species
UACGUAGGGGGCUAGCGUUGUCCGGAAUCAUUGGGCGUAAAGAGCGUGUAGGCGGUCCGGUAAGUCCGUUGUGAAAGUCAGGGGCUCAACCCUUGAAUGCCGGCGGAUACUGUCGGGCUAGAGUCCGGAAGAGGCGAGUGGAAUUCCUGGUGUAGCGGUGAAAUGCGCAGAUAUCAGGAAGAACACCCGUGGCGAAGGCGGCUCUCUGGGACGGUACUGACGCUGAGACGCGAAAGCAUGGGGAGCGAACAGG